UCGACGCACAGCGAAAGGUGCUUGCACCUUUCAAGUGAGUGGCGAACGGGUGAGUAACACGUGGACAACCUGCCUCAAGGCUGGGGAUAACAUUUGGAAACAGAUGCUAAUACCGAAUAAAACUUAGUGUCGCAUGACAAAAAGUUAAAAGGCGCUUCGGCGUCACCUAGAGAUGGAUCCGCGGUGCAUUAGUUAGUUGGUGGGGUAAAGGCCUACCAAGACAAUGAUGCAUAGCCGAGUUGAGAGACUGAUCGGCCACAUUGGGACUGAGACACGGCCCAAACUCCUACGGGAGGCUGCAGUAGGGAAUCUUCCACAAUGGGCGAAAGCCUGAUGGAGCAACGCCGCGUGUGUGAUGAAGGCUUUCGGGUCGUAAAGCACUGUUGUAUGGGAAGAACAGCUAGAAUAGGAAAUGAUUUUAGUUUGACGGUACCAUACCAGAAAGGGACGGCCAAAUACGUGCCAGCAGCCGCGGUAAUACGUAUGUCCCGAGCGUUAUCCGGAUUUAUUGGGCGUAAAGCGAGCGCAGACGGUUUAUUAAGUCUGAUGUGAAAGCCCGGAGCUCAACUCCGGAAUGGCAUUGGAAACUGGUUAACUUGAGUGCAGUAGAGGUAAGUGGAACUCCAUGUGUAGCGGUGGAAUGCGUAGAUAUAUGGAAGAACACCAGUGGCGAANGCGGCUUACUGGACUGCAACUGACGUUGAGGCUCGAAAGUGUGGGUAGCAAACAGGAUUAGAUACCCUGGUAG
rnacentral:rRNA from 1 species